rnacentral:rRNA from 1 species
UUCCUACGGGACGCAGCAGUCGGGAAUAUUGCGCAAUGGAGGAAACUCUGACGCAGUGACGCCGCGUGCAGGAAGAAGGUUUUCGGAUUGUAAACUGCUUUAGACAGGGAAGAAACAAAUGACAGUACCUGUAGAAUAAGCUCCGGCUAACUACGUGCCAGCAGCCGCGGUAAUACGUAGGGAGCGAGCGUUAUCCGGAUUUAUUGGGUGUAAAGGGUGCGUAGACGGAUAAUCAAGUUGGUUGUGAAAUCCCUCGGCUUAACUGAGGAAUUGCAACCAAAACUUGUAAUCUU